AACGUAGGAGGCGAACGUUAUCCGGAUUUACUGGGUGUAAAGCGCGUGCAGGCGGACGAGUAAGUUGCUUGUGAAAGCGCCCGGCUCAACCGGGCGAGGACGAGCGAGACUGCUGGUCUGGAGGUAGGUAGAGGCGUAUGGAAUUCCGGGUGUAGUGGUGAAAUGCGUAGAGAUCCGGAGGAACACCAGUGGCGAAGGCGAUACGCUGGGCCUAACCUGACGCUAAGACGCGAAAGCAUGGGGAGCGAACGGG
rnacentral:rRNA from 1 species